CUCUCUCUCUCUCUCUCUCCCUUCAUAUCUCUGAAAUCAAUAAAAACAUAUUUUUUAGAAAAUUCCAAUUCUCAUCCUUAUGCCUUCUUAAGCAAUAAUAAACAUCAUCUAACACAUAACAGUCUAUAUUGCUUCCCAGAUAACAAAACCCUGACUGAGGUGAACACGUUUAGCACCGACUCUCCCAGGAGUAGCAUACCGCUACCACAGGUGCAGUCCUCUUCAUUAGGAUUCUAGAGAAUAGAAUAGAAUAGAAUAAUUUACAAUAGAAUAGAAUAGUAU